rnacentral:rRNA from 1 species
CCCUUAGAUGUUCUGGGCUGCACACGUGCUACACUGGCAGGUUCAGCGAGCUUCAUGCCCUGAUCUGAAAGGAAUGGGAAAUCUUUUCAAAACCUGCCGUGCUUGGGAUAGAUGUUUGCAAUUAUUCAUCUUCAACGAGGAUUGCCUUGUAAGCGCACGUCAUCAGCGUGCAUUGAAUACGACCCUGUAUUCUGUACACACCGCCCGUCGCUCCUACCGAUUGAAGUUUUCGGUGAGUUGACAGGAGGAUUUUUUUGAAACUAGUUCGCCAGUGGAUUUUAGAUCCAAAUGCCAACGAAUCGAUGGCUUUAGAGGAAGGAGAAGUCGUAACA